ACGUUCGGUGGAGGAACCAGACUGGAAGUUAACUUGGGUCGAGUCGCCCCCACCCUGACGGUGCUGCCCCCCUCCAGCCAGGAGCUGCAGCAGGGGAAGGCCACGCUCACGUGUCUGGCCAACAAGGGCUUCCCCUCAGACUGGAGUCUGGCCUGGAAGGUGGACGGCAGCAGCUGUAGUAGCAGUUGCUGGGAGCAGAGCAGGAGCCCCGGGGUGCUGCAGCAGGACGGCCACUACAGCUGGAGCAGCACCCUGAGGCUCACUGCAGACCAGUGGAGGAAGGUGGGCUCUGUGACCUGUGAGGCCACCCAGGGCUCCCAGUCUCCACUCUCAGAGACACUGAGGAGAGACCAGUGUUCCCAGUCCUGACCUGACUCACUGGGACUCUGCUACUGGUUUUACUCUGCUACUGCUCUCACUCUGAUGUCUGCAACUCUGGUUUUUUCUCCCUCUGUCUCUUUAAAUGUGGCAGUAAUGAUGUUUCUUCCUUUCUGGUUUUAAUAUUCAAGAAAACAUUUUUUAUGCUUGCAUUGAUAUG